rnacentral:rRNA from 1 species
AUUGAACGCUGGCGGCAGGCCUAACACAUGCAAGUCGAACGAGUGGCGGACGGGUGAGUAAUGUAUGGGAAACUGCCCGAUGGAGGGGGAUAACUACUGGAAACGGUGGCUAAUACCGCAUACCAUCGGAUGUGCCCAGAUGGGAUUAGCUAGUUGGUGGGGUAACGGCUCACCAAGGCGACGAUGCCUAGCCGGUCUGAGAGGGUGAUCGGCCACACUGGGACUGAGACACGGCCCAGACUCCUACGGGAGGCAGCAGUAGGGAAUAUUCGACAAUGGGCGAAAGUCUGACACAGCCAUGCCGCGUGUGUGAAGAAGGUUUUCGGGUCGUAAAGUACUUUUAGCGGGGAGGCGUUACCCGAAGAGGAAGCCACGGCUAACUCCGUGCCAGCAGCCGCGGUAAUAC